rnacentral:rRNA from 1 species
GAACUGAAGAGUUUGAUCAUGGCUCAGAUUGAACGCUGGCGGCAGGCCUAACACAUGCAAGUCGAGCGGAUGACGGGAGCUUGCUCCUUGAUUCAGCGGCGGACGGGUGAGUAAUGCCUAGGAAUCUGCCUGGUAGUGGGGGACAACGUUUCGAAAGGAACGCUAAUACCGCAUACGUCCUACGGGAGAAAGCAGGGGACCUUCGGGCCUUGCGCUAUCAGAUGAGCCUAGGUCGGAUUAGCUAGUUGGUGAGGUAAUGGCUCACCAAGGCGACGAUCCGUAACUGGUCUGAGAGGAUGAUCAGUCACACUGGAACUGAGACACGGUCCAGACUCCUACGGGAGGCAGCAGUGGGGAAUAU